GACGAACGCUGGCGGCGUGCUUAACACAUGCAAGUCGAACGAAGUGGCGGACGGGUGAGUAACGCGUAAUCAACCGGCCCAUCAGGGGGGGACAACAGUUGGAAACGACUGCUAAUACCGCAUACUGAAGGAGGGGAUUGCGUCCCAUUAGCUAGGUGGGGAGGUAACGGCUCACCAAGUCGAUGGUGGGUCGCCUGCCUGGGAGGGAGAACGGCCACCACGGGACUGAGACCAGGGCCCGACUCCUACGGGAGGCAGCAGUGGGGAAUCGUCCGCAAUGGACGAAAGUCUGACGGAGCAACGCCGCGUGAUGGAAGACGGCCUUCGGGUUUUUAAGCUCCGUUAAUCGGGACGCGGUACCGGAAUAGAAAGCCACGGCUAACUACGUGCCAGCAGCCGCGGUAAUAC
rnacentral:rRNA from 1 species